AAAUAAACAAAUAAACACAGGUGGAGGGGGUUCCCCCGCCUCGAGUAAACAAAUAAACAAAUAAAUAAACAAAUAAACACAGGUGGAGGGGGUUCCCCCGCCUCGAGUAAACAAAUAAACAAAUAAAUAAACAAAUAAACACAGGUGGAGGGGGUUCCCCCGCCUCGAGUAAACAAAUAAACAAAUAAAUAAACAAAUAAACACAGGUGGAGGGGGUUCCCCCGCCUCGAGUAAACAAAUAAACAAAUAAAUAAACAAAUAAACACAGGUGGAGGGGGUUCCCCCGCCUCGAGUAAACAAAUAAACAAAUAAAUAAACAAAUAAACACAGGUGGAGGGGGUUCCCCCGCCUAGAGUAAACAAAUAAACAAAUAAAUAAACAAAUAAACACAGGUGGAGGGGGUUCCCCCGCCUAGAGUAAACAAAUAAACAAAUAAAUAAACAAAUAAACACAGGUGGAGGGGGUUCCCCCGCCUAGAGUAAACAAAUAAACAAAUAAAUAAACAAAUAAACACAGGUGGAGGGGGUUCCCCCGCCUAGAGUAAACAAAUAAACAAAUAAAUAAACAAAUAAACACAGGUGGAGGGGGUUCCCCCGCCUAGAGUAAAC